AUGAGCUGGAUCAGGCAGACUCCUGGGAAAGGACUGGUUUGGCUUGGAAGAAUUGACCCUGAAGAUGGUGCUACUAGCUAUGCCGACUCUGUGAAAGACAGCGUCACCAUCUCGACUGAUAACUCCAUCAGCACCGUGUAUCUGCAACUCCGCAGCCUGAGAACGGAAGACACGGCUGUGUAUUACUGUGCAAGAGACACGGGAGAAUUUACCCUGCAGCUCAGCGAGCAAUGCCAGUGUGCCCAGUCCCAGAUGCAGCUGGUGGAGUCCGGGGGGGCUGUUAGAAAUGAAGGGGAGUCCAUCCGGCUCUCCUGUAAAGGCUCCGGCUUCACCUUCAGCAACUACGAUAUGUUCUGGUACCGACAGAGCCCCGGAAAAAGCCCGGAGUUUGUGUCACGCAUUUACUACGACGGGACUGGCAUACGUUACGCGGCUUGGGUUGAAGGGCGAUUCACCAUCUCCAGAGACAACGCCAAGAGCGAGCUGUACCUGGCAAUGAGCCGCCUGAGACGGGAGGACACGGCCCGGUAUCACUGCGCUGCUCCAGACACACAGUGA